rnacentral:rRNA from 1 species
GACGAACGCUGGCGGCGUGCUUAACACAUGCAAGUCGUACGGUAAGGCCCUUUCGGGGGUACACGAGUGGCGCACGGGUGAGUAACACGUGAGUAACCUGCCCACAACUUUGGGAUAACGCUAGGAAACUGGUGCUAAUACUGGAUAUGUGCUCCUGCUGCAUGGUGGGGGUUGGAAAGCUCCGGCGGUUGUGGAUGGACUCGCGGCCUAUCAGCUUGUUGGUGGGGUAGUGGCCUACCAAGGCGGCGACGGGUAGCCGGCCUGAGAGGGUGACCGGCCACAUUGGGACUGAGAUACGGCCCAGACUCCUACGGGAGGCAGCAGUGGGGAAGAUUGCACAAUGGGCGCAAGCCUGAUGCAGCAACGCCGCGUGCGGGAUGACGGCCUUCGGGUUGUAAACCGCUUUCAGCAGGGACGAAGCUUUUUGUGACGGUACCUGCAGAAGAAGCACCGGCUAACUACGUG